rnacentral:rRNA from 1 species
GGCGGCGUGCCUAAUACAUGCAAGUCGAACGAGUUCUGAUUAUUGAAAGGUGCUUGCAUCUUGAUUUAAUUUUGAACGAGUGGCGGACGGGUGAGUAACACGUGGGUAACCUGCCCUUAAGUGGGGGAUAACAUUUGGAAACAGAUGCUAAUACCGCAUAAAUCCAAGAACCGCAUGGUUCUUGGCUGAAAGAUGGCGUAAGCUAUCGCUUUUGGAUGGACCCGCGGCGUAUUAGCUAGUUGGUGAGGUAACGGCUCACCAAGGCAAUGAUACGUAGCCGAACUGAGAGGUUGAUCGGCCACAUUGGGACUGAGACACGGCCCAAACUCCUACGGGAGGCAGCAGUAGGGGAUCUUCCACAAUGGACGCAAGUCUGAUGGAGCAACGCCGCGUGAGUGAAGAAGGCUUUCGGGUCGUAAAACUCUGUUGUUGGAGAAGAAUGGUCGGCAGAGUAACUGUUGUCGGCGUGACGGUAUCCAACCAGAAAGCCACGGCUAACUACGUGCCAGCAGCCGCGGUAAUACGUAGGUGGCAAGCGUUAUCCGGAUUUAUUGGGCGUAAAGCGAGCGCAGGCGGUUUUUUAAGUCUGAUGUGAAAGCCCUCGGCUUAACCGAGGAAGUGCAUCGGAAACUGGGAAACUUGAGUGCAGAAGAGGACAGUGGAACUCCAUGUGUAGCGGUGAAAUGCGUAGAUAUAUGGAAGAACACCAGUGGCGAAGGCGGCUGUCUGGUCUGUAACUGACGCUGAGGCUCGAAAGCAUGGGUAGCGAACAGGAUUAGAUACCCUGGUAGUCCAUGCCGUAAACGAUGAAUGCUAGGUGUUGGAGGGUUUCCGCCCUUCAGUGCCGCAGCUAACGCAUUAAGCAUUCCGCCUGGGGAGUACGACCGCAAGGUUGAAACUCAAAGGAAUUGACGGGGGCCCGCACAAGCGGUGGAGCAUGUGGUUUAAUUCGAAGCAACGUGAAGAACCUUACCAGGUCUUGACAUCUUUUGAUCACCUGAGAGAUCAGGUUUCCCCUUCGGGGGCAAAAUGGCAGGUGGUGCAUGGUUGUCGUCAGCUCGUGUCGUGAGAUGUUGGGUUAAGUCCCGCAACGAGCGCAACCCUUAUGACUAGUUGCCAGCAUUUAGUUGGGCACUCUAGUAAGACUGCCGGUGACAAACCGGAGGAAGGUGGGGAUGACGUCAAAUCAUCAUGCCCCUUAUGACCUGGGCUACACACGUGCUACAAUGGAUGGUACAACGAGUUGCGAGACCGCGAGGUCAAGCUAAUCUCUUAAAGCCAUUCUCAGUUCGGACUGUAGGCUGCAACUCGCCUACACGAAGUCGGAAUCGCUAGUAAUCGCGGAUCAGCACGCCGCGGUGAAUACGUUCCCGGGCCUUGUACACACCGCCCGUCACACCAUGAGAGUUUGUAACACCCGAAGCCGGUGGCGUAACCCUUUUAGGGAGCGAGCCGUCUAAGGUGGGACAAAUGAUUAGGGUG